CCGAGUGAGGAUUAUAGUACAUCCGACCUCCAACCCUUUGUGAACACAUCUUGUUGCUUCGGGGGCGACCCUGCCGUUCGCGGCAUUCCCCCGGGAGGUCAUCAAAACACUGCAUUCUUACGUCGGAGUAAAAAGUUAAUUUAAUA
rnacentral:misc_RNA from 1 species